UUCUACUAAUGUGCCUUUCUCAGUUUUGAAUAAUAUCACAUCUGGUAGCACUGUGUCCAUGCCCACAUCAACAAAUAAUCUAGCAAAAUGCAAGCUAAUUUUCCUCUCAGUAUUGUAGUCUACCAUUAAAGGUUUCCCAACUAAGCUUCCGAUCUUACUUAAUCCUUUAGGAAUCCAAUAUUUAAAACAGAGACCGAAAAGCUGAAUUCAAAUUGGUACAGUGUGUAACUCGUCUCUUGUGAAUUUUAUCUAUGGACUCCAUGCCUUCACGAUGAAAGAUUU
rnacentral:lncRNA from 1 species